rnacentral:rRNA from 1 species
AUGAACGCUGGCGGCGUGCCUAAUACAUGCAAGUCGAGCGAACAGAUGAGGAGCUUGCUCCUCUGACGUUAGCGGCGGACGGGUGAGUAACACGUGGAUAACCUACCUAUAAGACUGGGAUAACUUCGGGAAACCGGAGCUAAUACCGGAUAAUAUAUUGAACCGCAUGGUUCAAUAGUGAAAGACGGUUUUGCUGUCACUUAUAGAUGGAUCCGCGCCGCAUUAGCUAGUUGGUAAGGUAACGGCUUACCAAGGCAACGAUGCGUAGCCGACCUGAGAGGGUGAUCGGCCACACUGGAACUGAGACACGGUCCAGACUCCUACGGGAGGCAGCAGUAGGGAAUCUUCCGCAAUGGGCGAAAGCCUGACGGGGCAACGCCGCGUGAGUGAUGAAGGUCUUCGGAUCGUAAAACUCUGUUAUUAGGGAAGAACAAAUGUGUAAGUAACUAUGCACGUCUUGACGGUACCUAAUCAGAAAGCCACGGCUAACUACGUG